CAGAUAACUUUUAACAAAAAAGAAAGACUUAGGUUUUUCAGUUUAAAAUUCCUUGA
rnacentral:tRNA from 1 species